AUUGAACGCUGGCGGCAGGCCUAACACAUGCGAGUCGAGCGGAUGAAGGGAGCUUGCUCCUGGAUUCAGCGGCGGACGGGUGAGUAAUGCCUAGGAAUCUGCCUGGUAGUGGGGGAUAACGUCCGGAAACGGGCGCUAAUACCGCAUACGUCCUGAGGGAGAAAGUGGGGGAUCUUCGGACCUCACGCUAUCAGAUGAGCCUAGGUCGGAUUAGCUAGUUGGUGGGGUAAAGGCCUACCAAGGCGACGAUCCGUAACUGGUCUGAGAGGAUGAUCAGUCACACUGGAACUGAGACACGGUCCAGACUCCUACGGGAGGCAGCAGUGGGGAAUUUUGGACAAUGGGCGAAAGCCUGAUCCAGCCAUGCCGCGUGUGUGAAGAAGGUCUUCGGAUUGUAAAGCACUUUAAGUUGGGAGGAAGGGCAGUAAGUUAAUACCUUGCUGUUUUGACGUUACCAACAGAAUAAGCACCGGCUAACUUCGUG
rnacentral:rRNA from 1 species